GUAGAGGUAAUAGGUCUCAGGCUAGGUAGGUAAAAUGCUAUAUAGCGCAGUCUGCAGGUUUACAUAACAAGAUACAAACAAGCAUAACUCAGGAUUCUAAUCUAACCUGUGUGUGAGAGGUUAUACAUAGAUAGAUGGUGAACCUCAGGCGUACCUAUGGGUUAGGUGUGAAAUAUACAUGCAAAGUGAGAGAACCACUGGAUUAUAGGGCUUUGGUUAUUUCUAUAUUGCUGUUGCAUUUAUGAGUCAUGGAGCAAGUAGAGGAGAAUAUUAUGUAUACGGAGUAUGCAUGUCUAAGGUUUAGGUUAGCUUGUCAACAGAGAUAACAGAGAAAAAGUGAUUGGACACAUUGGUUAGUAUUUCGGGUAUCCUUUCUCAGAUGUUAGGUUCAUGGCUCUCGCUCACUAUUGCUAAUCAUCAUAACCAGUGCAUACUUAAACAUGAACAUAGUUAGGUUAACGAGUUGAACUACCGACGUCAACCCCCUGUGCUCCUCCCCUUAU